ensembl:snoRNA Small nucleolar RNA snR60/Z15/Z230/Z193/J17
CUGAUGCAGUGAUGAGUGCAUAGUUCAGCAGAUUUUCUGUGAAGAACAAUGUCUUUCGCUCCUAUCUGAUGCAUCUC